CAUAUAGAGACAAACAAGCACACUCGCAUUCACACCUACAGACAGUUUAGAAUCACCAGUUAACAUCAGCAUAUUUUUGGACUGUGGAUGGAAGCCGGAGAACCCGGAGAAAACCAACACAUCCACAGGGAGAACAUGCAAACUCCAUGGAGAAAGAUCCCAGGCCCAGGUUUUGGAGGAAAAAGAAGUAGACUGUUAAAAUUUUCCAAAUGUUGGUCUCCAUGCUUUUCAGCUUGUCCUCAAGCUCCUUUAUCCUGGAACAGAGGACAAUCUCUACAUGUUAAACACUUUAAUACAGGAUCCACACGCAUUAAAACAGGGAGGAACGCCACGUUUGGUUAUUCUGAAGUGAGCUGGCUGUAGAUGUGGUACCUCAGGGAGGAGCACUCCUUCUGGGCCUUUAUGAGGGAAGACUCCAGUUGAUGGACUCUCACUGCCUGGAGCUCCUUUAACUCCC